UUAUUUUCAUUAACCUUUAACUAAAAUCUAGUAUUUCUUUCAAUUAGGAAAUUGCCAACCAACUGUGUAGUACUAGCAUGGCUAUGACUUUGUCUUCACUAGAAAUCAGACAUUUUCAUGUAUGAUAGUUGUGGAAGCUGCAUGAACUGCUGUGAUAGCUUGUUAUUUAAUGCAUGAGCAAAAAAGCAAUGCUGCUUCUUCGUAACUUUGAUUUUAAAAAGCAUUUUGAAAACUGUAUGCAAUUGGUUUUCUUUAAAACCUAUGUACUUUGUAAUAUGCAUUUAUAGACAUUAUUCUGGGAAGGGGUCCACGGGCUUCACCAGAUUGUGAAAAGAUCCAUGACACAGAAGCAUUUGAGUGCCCCUGUGAGCAUGAGAGAAACAUUGUUCCACGCCCAGUGUGGAGCCCAACAUGGGGCUUGAACCCAUGACCCUGAGAUCAAGACCUGAACUGAGAUCAUGAGUUGGAGGCCUAACUGACUGAGCCACCCAGGAAAGUAUGAAGGCAGAGAAUUCAUUAGCUAAAAUAUGGGAUUCAGGAUCAUCUAUAUAUUCAACUGGCUUCCUGAAUCAUCUGAAGACAACAGAUAUUGAUGGUUGUGGCACCAUCUAGUGGUUCUCGAAGCGUGGCUUGGGUACUCUUGGAGGUGUUCGAUACCUUUUCAUGGAAUCUGUGAGUCAAAACUAUUUUUGUAGUUUUUGUCUUUUGCAUUCUCAUUCUCUCUCAUUCUCUGAUACAGCAGAGUAUUCCAGAGGCUACAUGACAUGUAGUAACACAACUGACUGGAUACAGAAAGAGAGACGGAAUCCAGCUUUCUUCAAUUAAUCCAGACAGUAAAGAGAUUUGCAAAAAUGUAAAAUGAUGCCACUCUUUUCACUAUUUUUUUUAAAAAUAAUAUUUGUGUUAAUAUGUAAUGGGUUUACUAUUGUUACUUAAUAUUUAAAAAAUUUCUUGGUUUUAAUUUCUAAUAUGGCAACUACUAAUAGAUACAAUUUUUUAAAGGCUGUUUAGAGUCUUUAAUUUUUACAAGUGUAAAGGAGACCUCAGGCCAAAAAGUUUACAUUUUAUAAACUGGUCAAAUUGUACAAAUUGGUCGAAAGCAGGUACUUACCCAAAAUGCAGGAAAUUCGAAUGUAAGGCCUGUAACUCAAAGUUUUAGGUUUUUUCCACCACUGAAUGGCCAAACUUCUUUGAGCAAACAUGCUGAUAUCUUACCUAGUUUUCAAGCCUGACAAAAUAUGCCACUUCUUCCAUGAAGAUCUUUUCUAUUUCUUUCCAACUGCACAUGCUCUCUGCUGGUUUGAUCUGUAUGCCAUUUCCUCCCCCUCCCAGCUGUCUUAUUGUUUUGUAUUUUAAUUAUUUGUAUACUUGUCAUAAUCAGAAUGUGUCCCCCCAAAAUUCACAUGUUGAAAUCCUAAUGCCUGAUGUGAUGAUAUUAGGAGGUGAGGUCUUUGGGAGGUGCUUAGGUCAUGAGAGUGGAGCCUUCAUGAAUGGGAUUAGUGUUCUUAUAAAUGGGACUUCACAGAGACCCCUACCCUUUUUGCCAUGUGAUACAAAAAGUCUGCAACCCAGAAGCAGGCCCUCACCCAACCUUGUUGGCACCCUGAUCCAGCCUCUAGAAUUGAGAGAAAUAAA